rnacentral:lncRNA from 1 species
AGCAAGAAAUCUACUGCUACUGAGUCGAGCAAGAAAUCUACUGCUACUGAGUUGAGCAAGAAAUCUACUGCUACUGAGUCGAGCAAGAAAUCUACUGCUAUUGAGUCGAGCAAGAAAUCUACUGCUACUGAGUCGAGCAAGAAAUCUACUGCUACUGAGUCGAGAAAGAAAUCUAGUGCUACUGAGUCGAGCAAGAAAUCUACUGCUACUGAGUCGAGCAAGAAACCUACUGCUACUGAGUCAAGCAAGAAAUCUACUGCUACUGAGUCAAGCAAGAAAUCUACUGGUACUGAGUCGAGCAAUAAUUUGACCAAUGUUGAUCCUAGCAAGCAGCAAAAAAGGAAGAAGA